rnacentral:rRNA from 1 species
AACGGCCCAUAGCGGGGGAUAACUACUCGAAAGAGUGGCUAAUACCGCAUACGCCCUACGGGGGAAAGGGGGGGAUCGCAAGACCUCUCACUAUUGGAGCGGCCGAUAUCGGAUUAGCUAGUUGGGGGGUAAAGGCUCACCAAGGCAACGAUCCGUAGCUGGUUUGAAGGACGACCAGCCACACUGGGACUGAACACGGCCCAGACUCCUACGGGAGGCAGCAGUGGGGAAUUUUGGACAAUGGGGGAAACCCUGAUCCAGCCAUCCCGCGUGUAUGAUGAAGGCCUUCGGGUUGUAAAGUACUUUUGGCAGAAAGAAAAGGUACCUCCUAAUACGAGGUACUGCUGACGGUAUCUGCAGAAUAAGCACCGGCUAACUACGUGCCAGCAGCCGCGGUAAUACGUAGGGUGCAAGCGUUAAUCGGAAUUACUGGGCGUAAAGCGUGUGUAGGCGGUUCGGAAAGAAAGAUGUGAAAUCCCAGGGCUCAACCUUGGAACUGCAUUUUUAACUGCCGAGCUAGAGUAUGUCAGAGGGGGGUAGAAUUCCACGUGUAGCAGUGAAAUGCGUAGAUAUGUGGAGGAAUACCGAUGGCGAAGGCAGCCCCCUGGGAUAAUACUGACGCUCAGACACGAAAGCGUGGGGAGCAAACAGGAUUAGAUACCCUGGUAGUCCACGCCCUAAACGAUGUCAACUAGCUGUUGGGGCCGUUAGGCCUUAGUAGCGCAGCUAACGCGUGAAGUUGACCGCCUGGGGAGUACGGUCGCAAGAUUAAAACUCAAAGGAAUUGACGGGGACCCGCACAAGCGGUGGAUGAUGUGGAUUAAUUCGAUGCAACGCGAAAAACCUUACCUACCCUUGACAUGUCUGGAAAGCCGAAGAGAUUUGGCCGUGCUCGCAAGAGAACCGGAACACAGGUGCUGCAUGGCUGUCGUCAGCUCGUGUCGUGAGAUGUUGGGUUAAGUCCCGCAACGAGCGCAACCCUUGUCAUUAGUUGCUACGCAAGAGCACUCUAAUGAGACUGCCGGUGACAAACCGGAGGAAGGUGGGGAUGACGUCAAGUCCUCAUGGCCCUUAUGGGUAGGGCUUCACACGUCAUACAAUGGUCGGGACAGAGGGUCGCCAACCCGCGAGGGGGAGCCAAUCUCAGAAACCCGAUCGUAGUCCGGAUCGCAGUCUGCAACUGACUGCGUGAAGUGGAAUCGUAGUAAUCGAUCAGAA